CUGUUUUUUGUUCCCCCCCCUAAUUGACCCCCUUCCCGUAGGUGAACUUGUCGGAGGGAUCAUUACUGAGUUUACAACUCCCAAACCCCUGUGAACAUACCUUUGUUGCUUCGGCGGGAUCGCCCCGGUGCCCUGCGCGCCGGAUCAGGCCCCCGCCGCAAGACCCAAAACUCUGUUUUUAUAGUUAUUCUUCUGAGUGGCUUUAAGCAAAAAAUAAAUUAAAACUUUCAACAACGGAUCUCUUGGCUCUGGCAUCGAUGAAGAACGCAGCGAAAUGCGAUAAGUAAUGUGAAUUGCAGAAUUCAGUGAAUCAUCGAAUCUUUGAACGCACAUUGCGCCCGCUAGUAUUCUGGCGGGCAUGCCUGUUCGAGCGUCAUUUCAACCCUCAGGACUCUUCGGAGAACUGGCGUUGGGGAUCAGCGUAGGCGCGGGUUCGCCCGCCUGCUGGCCCUGAAAUACAGUGGCGGUCUUGCUCUGACUCCCUUGCGUAGUAACUUACCUCGCCUGCGGAAGAAUAGUCUGACCAUGCCGUAAAACCCCCUACUUUUUUAUGUUGACCUCGAGUCAGGUAGGAUACCCCUA
rnacentral:rRNA from 1 species